ACUAUUAUAAAAGUGUGGUAAUAAGGUGAUAGUUUGAAGACAUUUUUACCCUUUAAGAAGGUAGGUAUUAAUAAUUUUGCCCUUUUGUUGACUGAUGAAUAGUGGUAGUGGUUGACAUGGUGCACGUGACUAAGAGAGACUUUCUUGUGAAGUUUCCAUUUCAUUUUUCCAUGCAUGUGGGCUCCACUCCACACUAUCUAUCUCUCUCUCUCUCUCUUCAGCUUGAUUACAUAUAAUUUGUUAAUCAAAACUAUAUGGUUAGGGCUAAUCAUAAUCAUUAACAUAGAUUUGAGUGCUGAAUUAUGUGGUUAUAUAGCAAUAAACGUAUUAAGUAUUAUUGUAUGGUGUCCAAUUGAUUAAAUUUAAAGGUGGUGUGUACUCUCUUUCUUUCUAACCACACCAAUAAACUCAGAUCAAUCUUUAUGUUUUUUUUUUCUCUAUGGUCCCAACUAUUGCUGGAUCAUCUAACUUCUUUGAUCCAUCUGGUUUGGUUCCUUCAAAGUCUAUCAAUGGCAGAUCUUGAAAACAGCAAGCUCAUUCAUGGAGAUAAACCUAUAGCCCCAUAUUUAGUAAUUCCGGAACUCUUAUGGCUACACAAACUGUUGAGGAUAGUUCUAGAUCUGGUUCAAGACGAACAGAGGGCGUUUAUUGAAACCAUUGAAUUCAGAAUAUGGUAAAGUAGCUCCUGGGUUCGUAUCAUCUUGACUUGGUUUUGAAUUUCUCUAUUUUUUUUAAAAAAUACCGAGUCGGGCUCUUCUCUUACCUGUAUCAAAUAGAACAUGCUGAGCCAAAUCUUCUUCAUGUAAAACAUACUUUAUUUAGAUCGAGAAAAUCGUACGGUUUUAUGAAACCAUGUGCUAUGGCUCGAAUCCGUAGUCGAUCCUAUUUCUGAUGGUCUUCGUAAUAAAAGAGACAUUUGGCGAUAAGCCUGUGCUUGUUAGGAGGGGUCGUCAUAAAUGAUUGAAGUGUGUUAUUCACGGUAACCGCGAAGACAUUCAUAAACUGCUCUACCGUAAUACUUAGCGGAUAACCCCAAUCUAGGUUUAAUAGUACAUGCCAAUAGUGUGCAACCAUACUUUUUUAAUUUAUCUCUUUCAACUUGGAUCUGAGUGGUUUUGCUAGAAUAGAAUAGGGAAUAAUGAGAUCAUUGUUUUAGUAAAUGAUGCGGAGAAGGGUAGUGACAUUGAUCCACAAGAAGCUCAGUUUUUGUUAUGCGUAUUAACAGCUACUCUAGGAGGAAUGUUUUUAUGUGGUGCUAACGAUUUAAUAACUAUCUUUGUAGCUCCAGAAUGUUUCAGUUUAUGCUUCUACCUAUUAUCUCGAUA